rnacentral:rRNA from 1 species
UACGUAGGGAGCAAGCGUUGUCCGGAUUUAUUGGGCGUAAAGGGCUAGUAGGCGGUUCGGUAAGUCGGGUGUGAAACCUCCAGGCUCAACCUGGAGACGCCACCCGAUACUGCCGUGACUCGAGUCUGGUAGGGGAGCACGGAAUUCCUGGUGUAGCGGUGAAAUGCACAGAUAUCAGGAGGAACACCGGUGGCGAAGGCGGUGAGCUCUGGGCCAGUACUGGACGCUGAAUAGCGAAAGCGAUGGGUAGCGGGAACAAGGAU